rfam:Danio rerio chromosome 7, GRCz11 reference primary assembly.
CCAAAGGCUCUUUUAAGAGCCACCAAUGCUGCCUUAAACGAGCUUU